rnacentral:rRNA from 1 species
GACGAACCGUGCGAACGUUAUUCGGAAUCACUGGGCUUAAAGGGUGCGUAGGCUGCGAGGAGGGUGGGGUGUGAAAUCCCUCGGCCUAACCGAGGAAUUGCGCUCCAAACCGCCUUGCUGGAGUGAGACAGAGGUGAGCGGAACUAAUGGUGGAGCGGUAGAAAUGCGCAGAUAUCAGGAGGAACACCGAUGGCGAAGGCAGGUCUCUGGGCCGAUACUGACGCUGAGGAGCGAAAGCGUGGGGAGCGAACAGG